rnacentral:misc_RNA from 1 species
GCAUACCUCUUCAGUUAUGCGUCAUGACUUGUAUCGUCUUGAGCGUAUUGUGGGUUUCCUGUUUUGCAUACCUAUUUAAUGGUAUCGUUUGAUCGAUCGAAGUCCCUUUUCAUCUUGUGUUGCAUUUGUGACGCAUGAUGAACCUCGAAGCGGUCUCUAUGUUCCAUUACAUAGAUACUAAUGUGUCGAUGUUGUGGCCCAUUGAGUGUUGCUUGGUAUCUUGGAUAUGGAUCAUUAUUUGGGCAUAGGGUCACUCGUGACUCUUGUUUUGUCCUUGUUCAGUGUUCUUUAAAACGACAGUUCAUGCGCGCCUAGGCUCGUACCUGCGCGAUGUUCUUUGUCGAAGAGGAAUGCUACCUGGUUGAUCCUGCCAGUAGUCAUAUGCUUGUCUCAAAGAUUAAGCCA